AAGAGAUGGAUGAGCGGAGACGUUCCUGUUCGGUUCCGAGAGCGCCUUGAGGGGAGCGGUUUUCCGAGGCGACUCGGGGUCGCCAUGGCGACGGCGAGGUUUUGCGCGCACUGAAAAUUAUCGACUUCAU
rnacentral:misc_RNA from 1 species